rnacentral:rRNA from 1 species
UACAGAGGUCCCGAGCGUUGUUCGGAUUCACUGGGCGUAAAGGGUGCGUAGGUGGUUGGGUAAGUCUGAUGUGAAGUCUCCGGGCUCAACCCGGAAAUGGCAUUGGAUACUAUUCGGCUAGAGGUUUGGAGGGGGGACUGGAAUUCUCGGUGUAGCAGUGAAAUGCGUAGAUAUCGAGAGGAACACCAGUGGCGAAGGCGAGUCCCUGGACAACACCUGACACUGAGGCACGAAAGCUAGGGGAGCAAACAGG